rnacentral:rRNA from 1 species
UACGUAGGGGGCUAGCGUUAUCCGGAUUUACUGGGCGUAAAGGGUGCGUAGGCGGUCUUUUAAGUCAGGAGUGAAAGGCUACGGCUCAACCGUAGUAAGCUCUUGAAACUGGAGGACUUGAGUACAGGAGAGGAGAGUGGAAUUCCUAGUGUAGCGGUGAAAUGCGUAGAUAUUAGGAGGAACACCAGUAGCGAAGGCGGCUCUCUGGACUGUAACUGACGCUGAGGCACGAAAGCGUGGGGAGCAAACAGG